GCCAGGCAUAGUGGCUCAUGCCUGUAAUCCCAACUACUCAGGAGGCUGUGGCAGGAGGAUCUCAAAUUCAAGGACAGCCUCUGCAACUU
rnacentral:sRNA from 1 species